rnacentral:rRNA from 1 species
AUGUUGGUGAAGCUAAUGGAUGGGCGAUGGGAGGCGACGUAUUUUGUUCGUGACCACAAUCAUCCGCUGGUGAACAAACCUUCAUUGUCCAAAUACUUGAGAUCCCACCAAGGCAUCUCUCCUGAUGAAAAGGAGUUUUUGCGCAUCUUGUAUAACUGCAACUUGACUACAAGACGUAUGAUGCAUGUAAUGGAAGAGUUCUAUGGAUCUGAGACGAUGGUGCCAUUCGGACCAAAGGCAAUAACAAAUCUGUGUACAAGUUUCCAUAGAGAUGACACAAAGGAGGGUGAUCUGAUUGAGACAAUUGCGCACUUCAAGGAUAUAUAA